UAAUACGGAGGGUGCAAGCGUUAAUCGGAAUUACUGGGCGUAAAGCGCACGCAGGCGGUUUGUUAAGUCAGAUGUGAAAUCCCCGAGCUUAACUUGGGAACUGCAUUUGAAACUGGCAAGCUAGAGUCUUGUAGAGGGGGGUAGAAUUCCAGGUGUAGCGGUGAAAUGCGUAGAGAUCUGGAGGAAUACCGGUGGCGAAGGCGGCCCCCUGGACAAAGACUGACGCUCAGGUGCGAAAGCGUGGGGAGCAAACAGGAUUAGAUACCCUGGUAGUCCACGCUGUAAACGAUGUCGACUUGGAGGUUGUGCCCUUGAGGCGUUGCUUCCGGAGCUAACGCGUUAAGUCGACCGCCUGGGGAGUACGGCCGCAAGGUUAAA
rnacentral:rRNA from 1 species